GGUGAGCUUCUCAUGGAGGGUGAUAUUGCUGUUCAGCGACGGAGGAAUGCGUUGUCCUGCUUCUUCUGCAAGUGGAAGAAAUCUGUCAAUGGCCUUGUCGAAGUGCCUGUGACUGUGAGCCCUGAUUUCUCCCUCUAUGAAAGGAUGAAAAUCGAAAAGGCGAUGCUGACCUUCACAAAAGAGACCUGCAUCCGAUUUGUGCCUCGCUCAACAGAGGUCGACUACCUCAGCAUAGAGAAUGGCAGAGGGUGCUGGUCUUACAUCGGGAGAGCAGGAGGCAGGCAGUUGGUGUCCUUGAACAGGGAUGAAUGCAUCUACAAUGGCCUCAUCCAGCACGAGCUCAACCACGCCCAUGACCUCGCCUACUCUCUCCAUUCAGCACAUACAUAUUGAAAUAUAAAAAGUUCCUUGUUUUUGAUAGUUUCAUGGUUAUUUUUUUAAAAGUAAUGAUUUUGAACCUUUAAAUAUUAUGUUAUAUAAGUAUAUCAUUGCAUUAGAUUACAUUAAUAGUAAUAAUAAUAUUUGAAUAUCUAUAAAUUAACUUGAAAACGAGUGGCUGGUACAUAAGCCUUAGAUGGUACUUUCCCCUAACACUGUCAUUAAACUAAAAUGUUCCACUUCUAUUCAUCCCAUUUCUAUUGAUUUGGCAGACCAGGCUUACAAUUUUAGAAAACAAUAUGGUAACAUGGGCACUCCAUAUGACUACACAUCUGUGAUGCACUACACCCGAACUGUUUUCACCACCGAGUAUGGAAAGGCAACGCUCACCCCCAUCCCUGACCCGGACGUCCCCAUUGGCCAGAUUCAGGGUCUCUCUCCCACUGACAUCCUGAGGAUCAAAAAGCUGUAUGAAUGCUGAUUGGAGGAAAUCUUCUAAACAGGAAUGGUGGCUGUUGGCUAAACAUAAAAGAACAUAUCUCAUCCUGUCUGGAGACAACGGUGUUGCCCCCCUAUGAGUGAAAAAUGGCCUGAACUCUCCUUUAAGCAUCAUUAUACAUUUAUUUACACUUUAUUAAUCAAUGUCUUGUUCUUACCAAAUGGGUAAUUUAUUCUUGGUAAAUCCACAAUAAGCAACUAGCUUGUCUUGAUCUAAUGAUACUAGUAUAAAUAUGAAAAUAGAGUUUUUUUCAGGUGCUUUUCUUUUUCUACGUGUUGAAGUUCAGUGGGCAAAUGUGUGGCUAUGCCCUUUGCUAAUAUUUUGAUUUAAUUGCCAGUACAAUAUAGUACUGAAGCCAUGAUGUAGCGUUGGCAAGGCAAGACUUAUGAAAUGCAUUUGAGUAAACUGUUAGAAGCCCAGUCACAUAUGCUACAAAGAAUACUACAAUGUACUCAUUCAUUACCUGCUAUCUACAAUAUGCCCACAGAGGAUCUCAUGACACGUGUAAAGCAUGGCCAUUCAAACACACAGACACACACUUCAUUUCACCCCAACACAAUGGGACACAACAAUUUUAAUCAAUUUUGGAGUGACAAAAUGGAAAUAAAUAAUAUGUAAAAAGAAACAACUUUAUUUUUUUUUAAAAAAACAAUUAAAAUCAAAACAACAA